CAACAGUAAUUCAACCUAAUACGAGCGAAACCGUUGAUUUGCACAAUUGGUCAUCGCGCUUGGUUGAAAAGUCAGUGGCGCGAAGCUACAGUGCGUUGGAUUAUGACUGAACGCCAUCUACGUCCGAAUUCGAGCUAAAAG
rnacentral:rRNA from 1 species